CGCUGGCGGCAUGCCUAACACAUGCAAGUCGAACGAAGUCCUUCGGGGCUUAGUGGCGCACGGGUGCGUAACGCGUGGGAAUCUGCCCUUGGGUUCGGAAUAACAGUGGGAAACUGCUGCUAAUACCGGAUGAUGACGUWAGUCCAAAGAUUUAUCGCCCAAGGAUGAGCCCGCGUAGGAUUAGGUAGUUGGUGGGGUAAAGGCCUACCAAGCCGACGAUCCUUAGCUGGUCUGAGAGGAUGAUCAGCCACACUGGGACUGAGACACGGCCCAKACUCCUACGGGAGGCAGCAGUGGGGAAUAUUGGACAAUGGGGGAAACCCUGAUCCAGCAAUGCCGCGUGAGUGAUGAAGGCCUUAGGGUUGUAAAGCUCUUUUACCCGGGAUGAUAAUGACAGUACCGGGAGAAUAAGCUCCGGCUAACUCCGUGCCAGCAGCCGCGGUAAUACG
rnacentral:rRNA from 1 species